AAGUCGUAACAAGGUCUCCGUUGGUGAACCAGCGGAGGGAUCAUUAUAGAGUUUUUCAAACUCCCAACCCAUGUGAACUUACCAAUGUUGCCUCGGCAGAGGUUACCCGGUACCUUACCCUGGAACGGCCUACCCUGUAGCGCCUUACCCGGGAACGGGCUACCCUGUAACGGCUGCCGGCGGACCAUCAAACUCUUGUUAUUUUAUUGUAAUCUGAGCGUCUUAUUUUAAUAAGUCAAAACUUUCAACAACGGAUCUCUUGGUUCUG
rnacentral:misc_RNA from 1 species